rnacentral:rRNA from 1 species
AGUGAACGCUGGCGGUAGGCCUAACACAUGCAAGUCGAACGGCAGCACAGUAAGAGCUUGCUCUUACGGGUGGCGAGUGGCGGACGGGUGAGGAAUACAUCGGAAUCUACUUUUUCGUGGGGGAUAACGUAGGGAAGCUUACGCUAAUACCGCAUACGACCUACGGGUGAAAGCAGGGGAUCUUCGGACCUUGCGCGAUUGAAUGAGCCGAUGUCGGAUUAGCUAGUUGGCGGGGUAAAGGCCCACCCAGGCGACGAUCCGUAGCUGGUCUGAGAGGAUGAUCAGCCACACUGGAACUGAGACACGGUCCAGACUCCUACGGGAGGCAGCAGUGGGGAAUAUUGGACAAUGGGCGCAAGCCUGAUCCAGCCAUACCGCGUGGGUGAAGAAGGCCUUCGGGUUGUAAAGCCCUUUUGUUGGGAAAGAAAAGCAGCAGGUUAAUACCCCGCUGUUCUGACGGUACCCAAAGAAUAAGCACCGGCUAACUUCGUG